CCCAAGGCUUCCUUUCUGUCCACUGUGGCUGUGGAACCAGACGAAGGAGGACAGGGCUUCUACAGUCACCCUGUAUUGGGGUCACCCUUGAUGAUCUGUGGGACGCUGUUGCUACUGGCGGUUGUUGUCAUGGUUCCCUGGAACAUGUGGUACCAGUACAAGAGGAUCCAGAAAAGGAGGAACAUGGAUGAGCUCGCCACCUCCCUCAGCAUGUACCCAGGCUGCGAGGGCGACCGGGCCAAAACCUCUGUCCUCUUCCUCAACACCGCCUCUCAGCAGGUGCACGUGCUCUGACUGCAGGUCACCCGCAGCUGAGUGGGCCGUGCCCCCGUACGCAGCGUGAGAGAGCGCACGUGCAACACAGCACAC